UACAGAGGGUGCAAGCGUUGUUCGGAAUCAUUGGGCGUAAAGGGCGUGUAGGCGGUCUGUUAAGUCAUGUGUGAAAUCCCUCGGCUCAACCGGGGAAGGACGCAUGAAACUGACAAGCUAGAGUACCAAAGAGGGGGGUGGAAUUCCCGGUGUAGCGGUGAAAUGCGUAGAGAUCGGGAGGAACACCGGUGGCGAAGGCGGUCUUCUGGACGGUGACUGACGCUGAGGCGCGAAAGCGUGGGGAGCGAACAGG
rnacentral:rRNA from 1 species